rnacentral:rRNA from 1 species
GUAGGGUAUUGGCUUACCGUGGCAGUGACGGUUAACGGGGGAUUAGGGUUCGAUUCCGGAGAGGGAGCCUGAGAAACGGCUACCACAUCUAAGGAAGGCAGCAGGCGCGCAAAUUACCCAAUCCUAACAGCAUAAGGGAGGUAGUGACAAGAAAUAACAAUACAAGGCAAUUAAAAUGCUUUGUAAUUGGAAUGAUAGAAAUUUAAACACUUUCUAAAGUAUCAAUUGGAGGGCAAGUCUGGUGCCAGCAGCCGCGGUAAUUCCAGCUCCAAUAGCGUAUAUUAAAGUUGUUGCAGUUAAAAAGCUCGUAGUUGGAUUUCUGCUAAAAAUAACUGGUCUGCUUUAAUUUAAAGUGGUACCUUAGUGUGUUUUUAGCAUUAAUGUCCUAUGAAAUGUUUUUUACUUUAUUGUUUAAAGCAAUAUUCAGGAUUUUUACUUUGAGAAAAUUAGAGUGUUUCAAGCAGGCUAACGUUUUGAAUACUGCAGCAUGGAAUAAUAAAAUAGGAUUUUGGUUCUACAUUAUUGGUUUUAAGAACUAAAUUAAUGAUUAAUAGGGACGGUUGGGGGCAUUUGUAUUUGACU